rnacentral:rRNA from 1 species
GACGAACGCUGGCGGCGUGCCUAACACAUGCAAGUCGAACGGAACUGUUUUGAAAGAUUUCUUCGGAAUGAAUUUGAUUUAGUUUAGUGGCGGACGGGUGAGUAACGCGUGAGUAACCUGCCUUCAAGAGGGGGAUAACAUUCUGAAAAGAAUGCUAAUACCGCAUGACAUAUCGGAACCACAUGGUUCUGAUAUCAAAGAUUUUAUCGCUUGAAGAUGGACUCGCGUCCGAUUAGUUAGUUGGUGAGGUAACGGCUCACCAAGACCGCGAUCGGUAGCCGGACUGAGAGGUUGAACGGCCACAUUGGGACUGAGACACGGCCCAGACUCCUACGGGAGGCAGCAGUGGGGGAUAUUGCGCAAUGGGGGCAACCCUGACGCAGCAACGCCGCGUGAAGGAUGAAGGUUUUCGGAUUGUAAACUUCUUUUAUUAAGGACGAAAAUUGACGGUACUUAAUGAAUAAGCUCCGGCUAACUACGUGCCAGCAGCCGCGGUAAUACGUAGGGAGCAAGCGUUGUCCGGAUUUACUGGGUGUAAAGGGUGCGUAGGCGGCUUUGCAAGUCAGAUGUGAAAUCUAUGGGCUCAACCCAUAAACUGCAUUUGAAACUGUAGAGCUUGAGUGAAGUAGAGGCAGGCGGAAUUCCCCGUGUAGCGGUGAAAUGCGUAGAGAUGGGGAGGAACACCAGUGGCGAAGGCGGCCUGCUGGGCUUUAACUGACGCUGAGGCACGAAAGCGUGGGUAGCAAACAGGAUUAGAUACCCUGGUAGUCCACGCUGUAAACG